rnacentral:lncRNA from 1 species
GCAGAGGUCACCAUGCUUGUCUUAUGUGACUGCUCUCUGCAGAAGUACAGUGAAGUGCACCUGACACGUGGUGAUUUUUGUCAGUGUGACGUCUGCUGAGAUGAGGCCGUGCACCCCCUGCAGCAGCACUGCCUCACAGACCGAGGGUGGUGUCAGCAUCGUCAGGGCCUGGUGCUGAUUCUGAGGACACCACCUCAUUAAAGCGGCUUGUUGGAGGAGCUGUUGGCUGAGACCAGCCCCUUGUCGUGGGAAGCGAGAGUGGAAGAAGUGCAAGCUUGGCUCUCCUUGCCACAGCUCCUGCCCACCAGAGCCUGAGCAGGGGCAGACUCCCAGGCCCCGGGUAGCCCAGCCUUGGUGCUGUCUCCGGCAGCUGCUACUGCAGAACACACCUGGCAAUGGGAGACCCUGGACUAGGGCAGAAGCACCUAAGAUUGGAAUGGUGGAGGGCUGCCUCCCUCCCUGGAAUUACUGAGAGAAGGCUGAGGUAGGAGAAUGGCGUGAACCUGGGAGGUGGAGCUUGCAGUGAGCCGAGAUCGCGCCACUGCACUCCAGGCUGGGCGACAGAGUGAGACUCCGUCUCAAAAAAAAAAAAAAAAAAGAAAAAGAAAUAGACUUUCCAGCGAAGCACAAAACACAAAAAUUAGCCAGGCUGGUGGCAGGCACCUGUAAACCCAGCUACUUGGGAGGAUGAGGCAUGAGAAUCGCUUGAAGCCAGGAGGUGGAGGUUGCAGCGAGCCAAGAUUAUACCACCACACUCCAGCCUGGGCAACAGAGCAAGAAUCUGUCGC